UCCUACGGGAGGCAGCAGUGGGGAAUAUUGCACAAUGGGCGCAAGCCUGAUGCAGCCAUGCCGCGUGUAUGAAGAAGGCCUUCGGGUUGUAAAGUACUUUCAGCGGGGAGGAAGGGAGUAAAGUUAAUACCUUGCUCAGUGACGUAUCCGCAGAGAGCUCAUCCCC
rnacentral:rRNA from 1 species